UUGGAGGGCAAGUCUGGUGCCAGCAGCCGCGGUAAUUCCAGCUCCAAUAGCGUAUAUUAAAGUUGUUGCAGUUAAAAAGCUCGUAGUUGAAUUUCGGGAUCAAAUUGUCGGUCGUGCCUCGGUACGCACUGGUAUUAUUGGUUCCUACCUUCUGAAGAACCGCGAUGUCAUUAAUUUGGUGUCGUGGGGAAUCAGGACUGUUACUUUGAAAAAAUUAGAGUGUUUAAAGCAGGCGCACGCUUGAAUACAUUAGCAUGGAAUAAUGAAAUAGGACGUUUGAUUCUAUUUUGUUGGUUUCUAGGAUCGACGUAAUGAUUAAUAGGGAUAGUUGGGGGCAUUAGUAUUCAAUUGUCAGAGGUGAAAUUCUUGGAUUUAUUGAAGACUAACUACUGCGAAAGCAUUUGCCAAGGAUGUUUUCAUUAAUCAAGAACGAAAGUUAGGGGAUCGAAGACGAUCAGAUACCGUCGUAGUCUUAACCAUAAACUAUGCCGACUAGGGAUCGGAUGAUGUUAAUUUUUUAAUGACUCAUUCGGCGCCUUACGGGAAACCAAAGUGUUUGGGUUC
rnacentral:rRNA from 1 species